rnacentral:RNase_P_RNA from 2 species
GCGGAUGGCUGGAUGGCCGCGCGGGGCCUCGGCCCCCCGAGGAAAGUCCGGACUCCCCGAGGCAACGGUGCCGGGUAACACCCGGCCGGGGUAACCCGAGGGAAAGCGCCACAGAGAACAGACCGCCCGGCCUGGCCGGGUAAGGGUGAAACGGUGGGGUAAGAGCCCACCGCGGGGCUGGCAACAGCCCCGGCACGGCAAGCCCCACCGGGAGCAAUGCCAAAUAGGAACCGCGCGGAGGCAACUCCGGGGCUGCCUCGGCCCCAGCAGGUUCGGGUUGGCAGCUGGAGGCGCUUGGUAACAAGCGCACGAGAGGAAUGGUCAUCACCGGGUCCGCCCGGAACAGAAUCCGGCUUACAGGCCAUCCGCGGUU